CAGCAGCCACGGUAAUACGUAGGGGGCAAGCGUUAUCCGGAAUAACUGGGCGUAAAGGGUGCGCAGGUGGUUUAACAAGUUAGUGGUGAAAGGCAUAGGCUCAACCAAUGUAAGCCAUUAAAACUGUUUAACUUGAGUGCAGGAGAGGAAAGUGGAAUUCCUAAUGUAGCGGUGAAAUGCGUAGAUAUUAGGAGGAAUACCUAUUGCGAAGGCGAUCUGCUGGAACUUAACUGACGCUAAUGCGUGAAAGCGUGGGGAGCAAACAGGAUUAGAUACCCCUGUAGUCCCUGUCUCUUAUACA
rnacentral:rRNA from 1 species